UCCCUUGUGGUCCAGCAGUUAAGACUCCGCACUUUCAAUGCAGGAAGCACAGGUUCGAUCCCUGAUCAGGGAA
rnacentral:tRNA from 1 species